CCUACGGGAGGCAGCAGUGAGGAAUAUUGGUCAAUGGGCGAGAGCCUGAACCAGCCAAGUCGCGUGAGGGAGUACUGCCCUAUGGGUUGUAAACCUCUUUUGUCGGGGAGCAAAAGCCGGACGUGUCCGGCUGUGAGGGUACCCGGAGAAAAAGCAACGGCUAACUCCGUUCCAGCCGCCGCGGUAAUACGGAGGAUGCGAGCGUUAUCCGGAUUUAUUGGGGUUAAAGGGUGCGCAGGCGGAUUUUUAAGUCAGCGGUAAAAUCGAGGGGCUCAACCCCCUCCAGCCGUUGAAACUGGGGAUCUAGAGUGGGCGAGAGGUAUGCGGAAUGCGUGGUGUAGCGGUGAAAUGCAUAGAUAUCACGCAGAACCCCGAUUGCGAAGGCAGCAUACCGGUGCACAACUGACGCUCAGGCACGAAAGCGUGGGUAUCGAACAGGAUUAGAUACCCUAGUAGUC
rnacentral:rRNA from 1 species